GUGAAAAUUAACCCUCUCUGUAGAACAACUCCAGCUGAGUCACAGAGCAGGGCAUCAUUGUGGCUGAAACUGUAGAGUAUGAUGUUGCACCAUUAACAGCAUCCUGGAACAGCAUGACGGCCAUUAAUUAAGCUGUCACCUGGCUCUGUAGAGUGUGAGAUUUGGGGAGUAAGGAUUGCCA